rnacentral:rRNA from 1 species
AAUAGAUACCCUGGUAGUCCACGCCGUAAACGAUGUCGACUUGGAGGUUGUGCCCUUGAGGCGUGGCUUCCGGAGCUAACGCGUUAAGUCGACCGCCUGGGGAGUACGGCCGCAAGGUUAAAACUCAAAUGAAUUGACGGGGGCCCGCACAAGCGGUGGAGCAUGUGGUUUAAUUCGAUGCAACGCGAAGAACCUUACCUACUCUUGACAUCCACGGAAUUUAGCAGAGAUGCUUUAGUGCCUUCGGGAACCGUGAGACAGGUGCUGCAUGGCUGUCGUCAGCUCGUGUUGUGAAAUGUUGGGUUAAGUCCCGCAACGAGCGCAACCCUUAUCCUUUGUUGCCAGCGGUUAGGCCGGGAACUCAAAGGAGACUGCCAGUGAUAAACUGGAGGAAGGUGGGGAUGACGUCAAGUCAUCAUGGCCCUUACGAGUAGGGCUACACACGUGCUACAAUGGCAUAUACAAAGAGAAGCGACCUCGCGAGAGCAAGCGGACCUCAUAAAGUAUGUCGUAGUCCGGAUUGGAGU